GUUCGAUCAUGGCUCAGGGCCAGACGCUGGCGGGAUGCUUUACAUGCAGUCAGACGGCACGGACUUCGGUCUGGUGGCGAGUGGCGAACGGGUGGUAAUGUAUCCGGAACGUGCCCUAGUAGCGGGGGAUAACUGCGCGAAAGCGUAGCUAAUACCACAUACGCCCUUCGGGGGAAAAGCGGGGGACCUUCGGGCCUCGCACUAUUAGAGCGGCCGAUAUCGGAUUAGCCUAGUUGGUGGGGUAACGGCUCACCAAGGCGACGAUCCGUAGCUGGUUUGAGAGGACGACCAGCCACACUGGGACUGAGACCUGGCCCAGACUCCUACGGGAGGCAGCAGUGGGGAAUUUUGGACAAUGGGGGAAACCUGAUCCAGCCAUCCCGCGUGUGCGAUGAAGGCCUUCGGGUUGUAAAGCACUUUUGGCAGGAAAGAAACGGCACGGGAUAAUACCCCGUGCAACUGACGGUACCUGCAGAAUAAGCACCGGCUAACUACGUGCCAGCAGCCGCGGUAAUACGUAGGGUGCAAGCGUUAAUCGGAAUUACUGGGCGUAAAGCGUGCGCAGGCGGUUCGGAAAGAAAGAUGCUUGAAAUCCCAGAGCUUAACUUUGGGAACUGCAUUUUUAACACCGAGCUAGAGUGUGUCAGAGGGAGGUGGAAUUCCGCGUGUAGCAGUGAAAUGCGUAGAUAUGCGGAGGAACACCGAUGGCGAAGGCAGCCUCCUGGGAUAACACUGACGCUCAUGCACGUGGGGAGCAAGCAGGAUUAGAUACACCUGGUAGAUCCACGCCCUAAACGACCUAAACGCUAGCUGUUGGGCCUUCGAGCCUUGGUAAGCCGCAGCUAACGCGUGAAGUUGACCGCCUGGGAAGUACGGUCGCAAGAUUAAAACUCAAAGAGAUUGACGGGGACCCGCACAAGCGGUGGAUGAUGUGGAUUAAUUCGAUGCAGCGCGAAAAACGCCUUACCUACCCUUGACAUGCAUCUGGAAUCCCGAAGAGAUUUGGGAGUGCUCGCAAGAGAACCGGAACACAGGUGCUGCAUGGCUGUCGUCAGCUCGUGUCGUGAGAUGUUAGGUUAAACAGUCCCGCAACAGCACAGCCUUGUCAUUAGUUGCUACGAAGGGAGCACUCUGGCCGAGACUGCCGGUGACAAACCGGAGGAAGGUGGGGAUGACGUCAGAGUCCUCAUGGCCCUUAUGGGUAGGGCUUCACACGUCAUACAAUGGUCGGGACAGAGGGUCGCCAACCCGCGAGGGGGAGGCCAGUCCCAGAAACCCGAUCGUAGUCCGGAUCGCAGUCUGCAACUCAAACUGCGUGAAGUCGGAAUCGCUGGCGUAAUCGCGGAUCAGCAUGUCGCGGUGAAUACGUUCCCGGGUCUUGUACACACCGCCCGUCACACCAUGGGAGUGGGUUUUACCAGAAGUAGUUAGCCUAACCGUAAGGAGGGCGAUUACCACGGUAGGAUUCAUGACUGGGGUGAAGUCGUAACAAGGUAG
rnacentral:rRNA from 1 species